rnacentral:rRNA from 1 species
CCUACGGGUGUCUGCAGUGGGGCAUAUUGCACAAUGGGGGAAACCCUGAUGCAGCGACGCCGCGUUAGUUAAGAAGUAUUUCGGUAUGUAAAGCUCUAUCAGCAGGGAAGAAAAUGACGGUACCUUAUCAAGAAUCCCCGGCUAACUUAGUGCCAGCAGCCGCGGUAAUACAUAGGGGGCAAGAGUUAUCCGGAGUUACCGGGUGUAAAGGGAGCGUAGACGGCUGCACAAGUCUGCAGUGAAAUGCCGGGGCUUAACCCCGGAACUGCUUUGGAAACUGGGCGGCUAGAGUGCAGGAGAGGUAAGUGGAAUUCAUGGUGUAGCGGUGAAAUGCGUAGAUAUUAGGAGGAACACCAGUGGCGAAGGCGGCUUACUGAACUGUAACUGACGUUGAGGCUCGAAAGCGUGGGGAGCAAACAGGAUUAGAUACCCCAGUAGUC